UGGGAUGCAGAUGGGCUACUCCUGG
rnacentral:piRNA from 2 species